rnacentral:tRNA from 2 species
UCCUUGAUGGUCUAGUGGUCAUGAUUUCCGCUUGUCAAUUCUCGAUUAGAGAAUAACAAGCGCGGGAGACCGGGGUUCGAUUCCCCGUCAGGGAG